CAGUAGCCACGGGAAUACGUAGGUGGCAAGCGUUGUCCGGAAUUAUUGGGCGUAAAGCGCGCGCAGGUGGUUUAAUAAGUCUGAUGUGAAAGCCCACGGCUCAACCGUGGAGGGUCAUUGGAAACUGUUAAACUUGAGUGCAGGAGAGAAAAGUGGAAUUCCUAGUGUAGCGGUGAAAUGCGUAGAGAUUAGGAGGAACACCAGUGGCGAAGGCGGCUUUUUGGCCUGUAACUGACACUGAGGCGCAAAAGCGUGGGGAGCAAACAGGAUUAGAUACCCGCGUAGUCCCUGUCUCUUAUAC
rnacentral:rRNA from 1 species